UGAAACAUUUUUAUGAUUAGUAUUUUUAUUGCUAUUAAAUGAUAAAACAUUAAUAGUAAUUUAUGUGUGACUAAUUUUUUUAAAAAAAAUUAUAAUUUUUUUAAAUAAGACAGAUGAUCAAAGUUGUACACAUAUAUCCACGACUGCACUUAUU
rnacentral:pre_miRNA from 1 species